ACUGUAACAUAUGUCUAAAAGUUGUUUGUUAGCCUUCACAUAUUCUGUGACAGAGUCACUCCUAUAGGUCCUUCCAUGCUUUGGAAUCAGCAAUAUUAUUACCCCCCACCCCUCUCUCCUCUCUCUCUCUCUCUCUCUCUCUCUCUCUCUACACACACAUACACUAUUGGCUUCUUGAGCUUUCUGGGUUUUGAACAAUGGAUGAAAAGAAGAGAGAGAUUGAUGGGGACACUGGUGGGAAGACAGAAAAGACAAAGGGAGUGGGUGAAGAAGAUGGUGAUGAAGCUAUGAAGAAGUGUUUGGAGGAAAACAAAGGGGACAACGCCAAGUGCAAGUCAAUGGUUGAAUCAUUCAAGUCUUCUUCUCCUCCUCCUCCUACAAAUAAACCCAUUACACCAUUGAGGCUUAGGAGUGGUUCUUUGACUGAUGUUUGAACUUCUUACAUCAUUUUAAUUUUGGGGUUUUUUUUUUUUUUUUUUAAUUUUCUUUUAGGGUUGUAUUUGAGUCAUUUGUGGUAUAACCCAGUUCUUGAAUAUCAUUGUGUGAAGUGUCAUAUUUUAGAGUUACUAUUAUCUUAGUUGGGUAAAAUGUAAUUUUAUUUUUAUUUCUUAAUAUGAGAAUAGUAUUUUAAUGCAGGAAUUUCAAUACA